UUGAUCAGUGAUGACCACUGAAUAUGUGUGAUCCCUGGAUCAUGAUUAAGAACUAGGAGUCUAAGGUUCAC